rnacentral:rRNA from 1 species
AUUGAACGCUGGCGGCAUGCCUUACACAUGCAAGUCGAACGGUAACAGGUCUUCGGAUGCUGACGAGUGGCGAACGGGUGAGUAAUGCAUCGGAACGUGCCCAGUAGUGGGGGAUAGCCCGGCGAAAGCCGGAUUAAUACCGCAUACGUCCUGAGGGGGAAAGGGGGGGAUCGCAAGACCUCUCGCUAUUGGAGCGGCCGAUGUCAGAUUAGCUAGUUGGUGGGGUAAAGGCCUACCAAGGCAACGAUCUGUCGUUGGUCUGAGAGGACGACCAGCCACACUGGGACUGAGACACGGCCCAGAGUCCUACGGGAGGCAGCAGUGGGGAAUUUUGGACAAUGGGCUCAAGCCUGGUCCAGCAAUGCCGCGUGCAGGAAGAAGGCCUUCGGGUUGUAAACUGCUUUUGUCAGGGAAGAAAUCUUCUGGGUUAAUACCUCGGGAGGAUGACGGUACCUGAAGAAUAAGCACCGGCUAACUACGUGCCAGCCGCCGCGGUAACAC